AGAUACCCAUGGACAAUGCCACUCCUCACUUGGUAAAUGACAAGAGUGAAGCUCACUUCAGUUGGUGAAAAUCUUCUAAUGGAAUUAAAUAAGAGCAAUAGUCAGGAAAGAGGAGCGCACAUGCAUACGAUACUCGACAGAAAGCAGCUUAAGGUGGAACUGACAUAUCUUGGCUCACAUUUUAAGAAGGAGGUGUGAGCCUGGCCCUGUUGGAGUAGGUGUGUCACUGUGGGUAUGGGCUAAAGACCCUUAUCCUAGCUGCCUGGAAGCCAGUCUAAUGCUAACAGCCUUCAGAUGAAGAUGUAGAGCUCUCAGUUUUUCAUGCACCAUGCUUGCCUGGAUGCUGCUAUGUUCCUGCCUUGAUAAUGGACUGAACCUCUGAACCUGUAAGCCAGCCCCAAGUAAAUGUAAAUCCUUUAUAAGA
rnacentral:lncRNA from 1 species